GGUGGUUGUAGCUCAGUUGGUUAGAGCGUCUGAUUGUGGUUCAGAAGGUCGCGGGUUCGAGACCCGUCUCCCACCC
rnacentral:tRNA from 1 species